AAGUCGUAACAAGGUUUCCGUAGGUGAACCUGCGGAAGGAUCAUUAACACGUAUCCACGUACCCACCCUCAGCGCACCUGUUUUCCCCUCCCUCUCUCUCACAUGAGUUGGCUAGUGCGGAGUUCGAGCAUUGAAUGGGGUCAGCCUUCGGACUGACCACUCGAACCCGCGCGACAUCACAACUGGAGUGAAGCGAAGAGGCACACUGCUCGAGCCAACCUCUCCAUUCAAGAGCGCGUCUCGGGCUAUCAUAAACAUAUCUCACCCCCUUUUUGCUAGUUGACUUUGUACUGUUGAAUGCCUCACGGCCUUCACACGUUUGAUUUAUUUGAACGCAACAACAACUCUUAGCAAUGGAUAUCUUGGUUCUC
rnacentral:misc_RNA from 1 species